rnacentral:rRNA from 1 species
AUUGAACGCUGGCGGCAUGCUUUACACAUGCAAGUCGAACGGUAGAGGGGGCAACCCCUUGAGAGUGGCGAACGGGUGAGUAAUGCAUCGGAACGUGCCCAGUCGUGGGGGAUAACGCAGCGAAAGCUGUGCUAAUACCGCAUACGAUCUCUGGAUGAAAGCGGGGGACCGAAAGGCCCCGCGCGAUUGGAGCGGCCGAUGUCAGAUUAGGAAGUUGGUGGGGUAAAGGCUCACCAAGCCGACGAUCUGUAGCUGGUCUGAGAGGACGACCAGGCACACUGUGACUGAGACUCGGCUCAGACUCAUACGGGAGACAGCAGUGGGGAAUUUUGGACAAUGGUCGCAAGCCUGAUCCAGCAAUGCCGCGUGCAGGAAGAAGGCCUUCGGGUUGUAAACUGCUUUUGUACGGAACGAAACGGUCUGGGUUAAUACCCUGGGCUAAUGACGGUACCGUAAGAAUAAGCACCGGCUAACUACGUGCCAGCCGCCGCGGUAAAAC